rnacentral:rRNA from 1 species
UACGUAGGUGGCAAGCGUUGUCCGGAUUUACUGGGUGUAAAGGGGGCGCAGGCGGGAAGCUAAGUUGGAUGUGAAAUACCGGGGCUCAACUCCGGAGCUGCAUCCAAAACUGGUUUUCUUGAGUGGAGUAGAGGUAAGCGGAAUUCCGAGUGUAGCGGUGAAAUGCGUAGAUAUUCGGAGGAACACCAGUGGCGAAGGCGGCUUACUGGGCUCUAACUGACGCUGAGGCCCGAAAGCGUGGGGAG